GGGGGUACAGUUCAGGGGUAGAGUGUGUGCUUAGCAUGCAAGAGGUUCUGGGUUCGAUCCCAGUACCUCCA
rnacentral:tRNA from 1 species